rnacentral:rRNA from 1 species
UGAGGAAUAUUGGUCAAUGGGCGAGAGCCUGAACCAGCCAAGUAGCGUGCAGGACGACGGCCCUAUGGGUUGUAAACUGCUUUUAUGUGGGGAUAAAGUGCGCGACGUGUCGUGCAUUGCAGGUACCACAUGAAUAAGGACCGGCUAAUUCCGUGCCAGCAGCCGCGGUAAUACGGAAGGUCCGGGCGUUAUCCGGAUUUAUUGGGUUUAAAGGGAGCGUAGGCUGUCUAUUAAGCGUGUUGUGAAAUAUACCGGCUCAACCGGUGGCUUGCAGCGCGAACUGGUCGACUUGAGUAUGCAGGAAGUAGGCGGAAUUCAUGGUGUAGCGGUGAAAUGCUUAGAUAUCAUGACGAACUCCGAUUGCGCAGGCAGCUUACUGUAGCAUAACUGACGCUGAUGCUCGAAAGUGCGGGUAUCAAACAGG